rnacentral:rRNA from 1 species
UUAAGCGACUAAGCGUACACGGUGGAUGCCCUGGCAGUCAGAGGCGAUGAAGGACGUGCUAAUCUGCGAUAAGCGUCGGUAAGGUGAUAUGAACCGUUAUAACCGGCGAUUUCCGAAUGGGGAAACCCAGUGUGAUUCGUCACACUAUCAUUAACUGAAUCCAUAGGUUAAUGAGGCGAACCGGGGGAACUGAAACAUCUAAGUACCCCGAGGAAAAGAAAUCAACCGAGAUUCCCCCAGUAGCGGCGAGCGAACGGGGAGCAGCCCAGAGCCUGAAUCAGUGUGUGUGUUAGUGGAAGCGUCUGGAAAGGCGCGCGAUACAGGGUGACAGCCCCGUACACAAAAAUGCACAUGCUGUGAGCUCGAUGAGUAGGGCGGGACACGUGGUAUCCUGUCUGAAUAUGGGGGGACCAUCCUCCAAGGCUAAAUACUCCUGACUGACCGAUAGUGAACCAGUACCGUGAGGGAAAGGCGAAAAGAACCCCGGCGAGGGGAGUGAAAAAGAACCUGAAACCGUGUACGUACAAGCAGUGGGAGCACGCUUAGGCGUGUGACUGCGUACCUUUUGUAUAAUGGGUCAGCGACUUAUAUUCUGUAGCAAGGUUAACCGAAUAGGGGAGCCGAAGGGAAACCGAGUCUUAACUGGGCGUUAAGUUGCAGGGUAUAGACCCGAAACCCGGUGAUCUAGCCAUGGGCAGGUUGAAGGUUGGGUAACACUAACUGGAGGACCGAACCGACUAAUGUUGAAAAAUUAGCGGAUGACUUGUGGCUGGGGGUGAAAGGCCAAUCAAACCGGGAGAUAGCUGGUUCUCCCCGAAAGCUAUUUAGGUAGCGCCUCGUGAAUUCAUCUCCGGGGGUAGAGCACUGUUUCGGCAAGGGGGUCAUCCCGACUUACCAACCCGAUGCAAACUGCGAAUACCGGAGAAUGUUAUCACGGGAGACACACGGCGGGUGCUAACGUCCGUCGUGAAGAGGGAAACAACCCAGACCGCCAGCUAAGGUCCCAAAGUCAUGGUUAAGUGGGAAACGAUGUGGGAAGGCCCAGACAGCCAGGAUGUUGGCUUAGAAGCAGCCAUCAUUUAAAGAAAGCGUAAUAGCUCACUGGUCGAGUCGGCCUGCGCGGAAGAUGUAACGGGGCUAAACCAUGCACCGAAGCUGCGGCAGCGACGCUUAUGCGUUGUUGGGUAGGGGAGCGUUCUGUAAGCCUGCGAAGGUGUGCUGUGAGGCAUGCUGGAGGUAUCAGAAGUGCGAAUGCUGACAUAAGUAACGAUAAAGCGGGUGAAAAGCCCGCUCGCCGGAAGACCAAGGGUUCCUGUCCAACGUUAAUCGGGGCAGGGUGAGUCGACCCCUAAGGCGAGGCCGAAAGGCGUAGUCGAUGGGAAACAGGUUAAUAUUCCUGUACUUGGUGUUACUGCGAAGGGGGGACGGAGAAGGCUAUGUUGGCCGGGCGACGGUUGUCCCGGUUUAAGCGUGUAGGCUGGUUUUCCAGGCAAAUCCGGAAAAUCAAGGCUGAGGCGUGAUGACGAGGCACUACGGUGCUGAAGCAACAAAUGCCCUGCUUCCAGGAAAAGCCUCUAAGCAUCAGGUAACAUCAAAUCGUACCCCAAACCGACACAGGUGGUCAGGUAGAGAAUACCAAGGCGCUUGAGAGAACUCGGGUGAAGGAACUAGGCAAAAUGGUGCCGUAACUUCGGGAGAAGGCACGCUGAUAUGUAGGUGAAGUCCCUCGCGGAUGGAGCUGAAAUCAGUCGAAGAUACCAGCUGGCUGCAACUGUUUAUUAAAAACACAGCACUGUGCAAACACGAAAGUGGACGUAUACGGUGUGACGCCUGCCCGGUGCCGGAAGGUUAAUUGAUGGGGUUAGCGCAAGCGAAGCUCUUGAUCGAAGCCCCGGUAAACGGCGGCCGUAACUAUAACGGUCCUAAGGUAGCGAAAUUCCUUGUCGGGUAAGUUCCGACCUGCACGAAUGGCGUAAUGAUGGCCAGGCUGUCUCCACCCGAGACUCAGUGAAAUUGAACUCGCUGUGAAGAUGCAGUGUACCCGCGGCAAGACGGAAAGACCCCGUGAACCUUUACUAUAGCUUGACACUGAACAUUGAGCCUUGAUGUGUAGGAUAGGUGGGAGGCUUUGAAGUGUGGACGCCAGUCUGCAUGGAGCCGACCUUGAAAUACCACCCUUUAAUGUUUGAUGUUCUAACGUGGACCCGUAAUCCGGGUUGCGGACAGUGUCUGGUGGGUAGUUUGACUGGGGCGGUCUCCUCCUAAAGAGUAACGGAGGAGCACGAAGGUUGGCUAAUCCUGGUCGGACAUCAGGAGGUUAGUGCAAUGGCAUAAGCCAGCUUGACUGCGAGCGUGACGGCGCGAGCAGGUGCGAAAGCAGGUCAUAGUGAUCCGGUGGUUCUGAAUGGAAGGGCCAUCGCUCAACGGAUAAAAGGUACUCCGGGGAUAACAGGCUGAUACCGCCCAAGAGUUCAUAUCGACGGCGGUGUUUGGCACCUCGAUGUCGGCUCAUCACAUCCUGGGGCUGAAGUAGGUCCCAAGGGUAUGGCUGUUCGCCAUUUAAAGUGGUACGCGAGCUGGGUUUAGAACGUCGUGAGACAGUUCGGUCCCUAUCUGCCGUGGGCGCUGGAGAAUUGAGGGGGGCUGCUCCUAGUACGAGAGGACCGGAGUGGACGCAUCACUGGUGUUCGGGUUGUCAUGCCAAUGGCACUGCCCGGUAGCUAAAUGCGGAAGAGAUAAGUGCUGAAAGCAUCUAAGCACGAAACUUGCCCCGAGAUGAGUUCUCCCUGACCCUUUAAGGGUCCUGAAGGAACGUUGAAGACGACGACGUUGAUAGGCCGGGUGUGUAAGCGCAGCGAUGCGUUGAGCUAACCGGUACUAAUGAACCGUGAGGCUUAACCU